rfam:Picea glauca, whole genome shotgun sequence.
UCUUAUGUACAUGCCAACAACGUUAAUGCACCAGAUCCCAUUAGAACUUUGUAUUUAAGCACACUUGGGCUAUAGUAGUACUUGGAUGGGUGACCAUCUAGAAAGUCCUAGUGUUUUACAUGCC